rnacentral:lncRNA from 1 species
AUAUUAGGUUAAAUUACAGAAAAUCCUCUUGUCAAUACCCGCUUUUUUACCUUCCUUCCCUAUCAUUUUAAAACCUACAUUUUGCCCCUUUGAAAAAUGAGAAAUAUUCAUAGGGGGUUGUGGUGUUAACUGUGAUGAUAAAAUAACAAAAUUGCUCCUCACCAUCUUCUCUCUAAUCUUGCUCAGCCGUCGUCUUUUCUCUCCAUUCUUCAUGCUUUGCUUAAUCGCAACUCCGACUCCAUUUCCUCUACCUGCUUCCCAGCCUGCGCGUCCUGCACUCUCGUUGCCCCUCUAUUUGGUAACGAUAGGGGGGAGAUCGUGGUGGGCAUGGACGAAGAGAUAGGAGAGGGCGAGGGCGAGACGGCGAAGGAGCACAAAAGCGUGUGUGUGGGCGUGGAUGGAGAGGUAGGAGAAGGUGAGGCGGCGGAGGAGAGCGAGGUGGCGGUGUCAUA